rnacentral:rRNA from 1 species
UACGGAGGAUGCAAGCGUUAUCCGGAUUCAUUGGGUUUCAAGGGUGCGUAGGUGGCCUAAUAAGUCAGUGGUGAAAUCCUGUUGCUUAACAACAGAAUUGCCAUUGAUACUGUAUGGCUUGAGUAUAGUUGCCGUUGGCGGAAUAUGACAUGUAGUGGUGAAAUACAUAGAGAUGUCAUAGAACACCGAUUGCGAAGGCAGCUGACGAAACUAUAACUGACACUGAGGCUCGAAAGUGCGGGGAUCAAACAGG